GUUCUUGUAGUUAAAGUUCGAUAACGGCAGUUUUUCAGGCUGCAGAUCCUGGAUAUAGGCCGGGCGAGAACU
rnacentral:tRNA from 1 species